rnacentral:rRNA from 1 species
GACGAACGCUGGCGGCAUGCCUAAUACAUGCAAGUCGAGCGAACAGAUGAAGUGCUUGCACUUCUGACGUUAGCGGCGAACGGGUGAGUAACACGUAAGGAAUCUACCUAUAAGCGGGGGAUAACAUUCGGAAACGGGUGCUAAUACCGCAUAAUAUCUUCUUCCGCAUGGAAGAAGAUUGAAAGACGGCUCUGCUGUCACUUAUAGAUGACCUUGCGGUGCAUUAGUUAGUUGGUGGGGUAACGGCCUACCAAGACGAUGAUGCAUAGCCGACCUGCGAGGGUGAUCGGCCACAUUGGGACUGAGACACGGCCCAAACUCCUACGGGAGGCAGCAGUAGGGAAUCUUCCGCAAUGGGCGAAAGCCUGACGGAGCAAUGCCGCGUGGGUGAAGAAGGCCUUCGGGUCGUAAAACUCUGUUAUAAGAGAAGAACAAAUUGUAGAGUAACUGCUACAGUCUUGACGGUAUCUUAUCAGAAAGCCACGGCUAACUACGUGCCAGCCGCCGCCGAAA